UUAUUUCAUUGAAGCAAAAGAUUCAGACAAAUGUGUUUCAAUCAAGUUUUGGUAAAUGAUCUUACCACUGGCAACUCUCCGGCUAGGGUUAUUCACACAAGCCAAAGGUCUUACCACAAGGUAAAACAUGUCCAGUGGAAGCAACAGGGUAGGUAAACAAUGGGAUAUAAAAAAACUGGUUUAAAGUUUUUCAGUAAUGAUCCUUCCGCAGGUUCACCUACGGAAA
rnacentral:misc_RNA from 1 species